GGUGGAUUAGUGGCGAACGGGUGAGUAACACGUGAGUAACCUGCCCUUGACUCUGGGAUAAGCCUUGGAAACGGGGUCUAAUACCGGAUAGGAGCAUUCACCGCAUGGUGGGUGUUGGAAAGAAUUUCGGUCUUGGAUGGACUCGCGGCCCAUCAGCUUGUUGGUGAGGUAAUGGCUCACCAAGGCGACGACGGGUAGCCGGCCUGAGAGGGUGACCGGCCACACUGGGACUGAGACACGGCCCAGACUCC
rnacentral:rRNA from 1 species